UUUUUUUUUUUUUUUUUUCAACAUAGGAAAGAGUCAAGAAAUGAGUCAUCCUUUGGUUCUUCCUUGGCUCCCGAGUAUGCACCCUCUGUGAUGUAUUGUGUUUGAUUCAUGUAUGAGCCCGUUGGCUUUCCAAAUCCUGAGAAGCCAAUGCCCCCUGUACCCUGCAACAUUUCCAGGGUGAAUGGUGCUUGACCUGCUGAUGUUGGUAAUCUUGUGCUGUUUAGCGAGCUUGGAUAAUUUGCGUUUGUUGUGACAGAGGGCCUUAUAGGGAUAGGCAUAUUGCUGCUGUUAGCAUUGGAUGGAGGUCUAUUGGAUGCAUAGCCGCUGCUACGUGCAGCUGGAACAUCGUGGUUGUGCUUCCCUUCGUAAGUG
rnacentral:misc_RNA from 1 species